CUACGGAGGACGCGAGCGUUAUCCGGAUUCAUUGGGUUUAAAGGGUGCGCAGGCGGCCGUGCAAGUCAGCGGUGAAAGCCCGGGGCUCAACCCCGGAAGUGCCGUUGAUACUGCGUGGCUGGAAUGCGGUCGAGGCGGGCGGAACGUGGGGUGGAGCGGGGAAAGGCGUAGAUGUGCCACAGAAAGCCGCUAGCGGCGGCGGCUCGGCAGGCCGGCAAGGACGCUAGGGCACGAAAGCGUGGGGAGCGAACAGUAUUAGAUCCCCUGGUAGUCCACGCCGUAAACGAUGGGCGCUCGUCGUCGGCGGCAGACAGUCGGCGGCCAAGCGAAAGCGAUAAGCGCCCCACCUGGGGAGUACGGUCGCAAGGCUGAAACUCAAAUGAAUUGACGGGG
rnacentral:rRNA from 1 species